CGCACAUUGCGCCCCUCGGUAUUCCGGGGGGCAUACCUGUUCGAGCGUCAUUACACCUCUCAAGCGUAGCUUGGUAUUGGGCCUCGCUCCCUCACAAGGGCGUGCCUGAAAAGUAGUGGCGGUCCGGCGUGGCCUUGAACGUAGUAAAUUUACCCCCGUUCUGAAGGUUCCGCGUCGCGGCCGGCCAGAAGCACCCAUCUUCAAGAAUUGACCUCGGAUCAGGUAGGGAUACCCGCUGAACUUAA
rnacentral:misc_RNA from 1 species